AUACGUAGGUGGCAAGCGUUGUCCGGAAUUAUUGGGCGUAAAGGGCGCGCAGGCGGUUUUACAAGUCGGUCUUAAAAGUGCGGGGCUCAACCCCGUGAGGGGACGGAAACUGUAAAACUGGAGUAUCGGAGAGGAAAGCGGAAUUCCUAGUGUAGCGGUGAAAUGCGUAGAUAUUAGGAGGAACGCCAGUGGCGAAAGCGGCUUUCUGGACGAUAACUGACGCUGAGGCGCGAAAGCCAGGGGAGCGAACGGGAUUAGAUACCCCGGUAGUCCUGGCCGUAAACGAUGGAUACUAGGUGUGGGAGGUAUCGACCCCUUCCGUGCCGGAGUUAACGCAAUAAGUAUCCCACCUGGGGAGUACGGCCGCAAGGCUGAA
rnacentral:rRNA from 1 species